rnacentral:tRNA from 1 species
GCCUCGGUGGCUUAGGGGUUAUAGCGUAUGCUUCGUAAGCAUAAUGUCGUGGGUUCGAUUCCCACCCGGGGCUCCA